UUGGUAGCGCAGCUAACGCGUGAAGUUGACCGCCUGGGGAGUACGGUCGCAAGAUUAAAACUCAAAGGAAUUGACGGGGACCCGCACAAGCGGUGGAUGAUGUGGAUUAAUUCGAUGCAACGCGAAAAACCUUACCUACCCUUGACAUGUCUGGAAUGCCGAAGAGAUUUGGCAGUGCUCGCAAGAGAACCGGAACACAGGUGCUGCAUGGCUGUCGUCAGCUCGUGUCGUGAGAUGUUGGGUUAAGUCCCGCAACGAGCGCAACCCUUGUCAUUAGUUGCUACGAAAGGGCACUCUAAUGAGACUGCCGGUGACAAACCGGAGGAAGGUGGGGAUGACGUCAAGUCCUCAUGGCCCUUAUGGGUAGGGCUUCACACGUCAUACAAUGGUCGGGACAGAGGGUCGCCAACCCGCGAGGGGGAGCCAAUCCCAGAAACCCGAUCGUAGUCCGGAUCGCAGUCUGCAACUCGACUGCGUGAAGUCGGAAUCGCUAGUAAUCGCGGAUCAGCAUGUCGCGGUGAA
rnacentral:rRNA from 1 species